GUUGACAAAAGAUUUUUUAUAUGAUAACCUUUUUCAAUACAAAGACGACAGAAAAAUCGAACAUGACCGUGCGAUAAAUUACCAUCAAUCAAAAAAAAAAGACAAAAAGAAGACAAAAAAAAAUUAAGAAAAUUACCAUCCAUCAAUCAAUCAAUCAAGUCUCGAUACCGCUUUUAUUUGUGAAACUGAACUUACUCCAUUUUCCUCGGGCAAAGUUAAUCCCUUUUUAGCUCACCUGGCCUGAAGGGCCAAGUGAGCUUUUCUCGUCACUUUGCGUCCGUCGUCGUUAACUUUUACUAAAAUCUUCUCUGAAACUAAUGGGCCAAAUGAAACCAAACUUGUCCACAAUCAUCAUUGGGGUAUCUUGUUUGAAAAAUGUGUCCGCUGACCUGGCCAACCAACAAAGAUGGCCGACAUGGCUAAAAAUAGAACAUAGGGGUAAAAUGUAGAUUUUGGCUUAUGUCUCGGAAAUCAAAGCAUUUAGAACAAAUCUGACAUGGGUUAAAUCUGUUUAUUAGGUCUAGAUCUAUCUGCACUGUAAUUUUCAGAUGAAUCGGAGAACCCGUUGUUUGGUAAUUUUAAGGAAAUUCUGCUGGUUUUUUUGUGUGUCGUAUAUUGGUAUUACCAAGGAGGUCAUAU
rnacentral:lncRNA from 1 species